rnacentral:misc_RNA from 1 species
GAAGUGUUGAUUCGGAGAGAUGGGAAGAUGAUAUGGAAGAAAGCGGGUAUGAUAAAUCUAAGGAUUCUUCGAGUAAGCAUCGAAGUAGUAAGGAUAAGGAUAGGAAAAGUAGUAGUGGACGAAGAGAAGAGAAAGAGCAUAGAAGAGAUCGGGAGAAGAGUAAAGAGUUGGAGAAGGAUCGUUCGUCAACUCGUGAUAGAAGGAAGGAAGAUCGUAGAGAUCGUGGAAAAGACCGGGAGAGAGAUAGUGAACGGGGAAGAGAUAAGGAACGAGAUCGGGACAUUGACCGGGAGAGAGAUAGUGAACGGGGAAGAGAUAAGGAACGAGAUCGGGACAUUGACCGGGAGAGAGAUAGUGAACGGGGAAGAGAUAAGGAACGAGAUCGGGACAUU